AGUGAACGCUGGCGGCGUGCCUAAUACAUGCAAGUCGAACGGUAACACAGGAAGAUGUUGCUCUGACUGGUUGCGGGUGGCGGGCGGGUGAGGAAGGUAUCGGAACCGGCUGUGGCGGGGGGCAAUUCGUAAGGAAAGCUACUAUAACAUCGCAUAAGUUCUACCGGGAAAACCAAUGGAUAUGGGCAACUUGCCCGAUACAAGGAGGCGAUGCCGGGUUUGCUAGUUGGGGGGGUAAAGGCCCACCAAGGCGACGAUCCGUAUCGGGUCUGAGAGGAUGAUCGGCCACACUGGAACUGAGCCACGGUCCAGACUCCUACGGGAGGCAGCAGUGGGGAAUAUUGGACAAUGGGCGCAAGCCUGACCCAGCCAUACCGCGUGGGUGAGGAAGGCCUUCGGGUUGUAAACCCCUUUUGUUGGGAAAGAAAAGCAGCAGAUUAAAACACGCACGUUGUGACGGUACCCAAAGAGUAAGCACCGGCUAACUACGUG
rnacentral:rRNA from 1 species